rnacentral:rRNA from 1 species
UUUCUACAACGAAGAGUUUGAUCCUGGCUCAGGAUGAACGCUAGCGGCAGGCCUAACACAUGCAAGUCGAGGGGUAACGAUGGCUUCGGCCAGGCGACGACCGGCGCACGGGUGAGUAUCGCGUUUGUAACCUACCUCUAACUGGAGAAUAGCCCGAAGAAAUUCGGAUUAAUACUCCAUAAAGCUAUGAUUCGGCAUCUUUUUAUAGUUAAAGCUCCGGCGGUUAGAGAUGGGCAUGCGUGACAUUAGUUAGUUGGUGAGGUAAUGGCUCACCAAGACCACGAUGUCUAGGGGGUCUGAGAGGAUGGUCCCCCACACUGGUACUGAGACACGGACCAGACUCCUACGGGAGGCAGCAGUGAGGAAUAUUGGUCAAUGGGCGAAAGCCUGAACCAGCCAUGCCGCGUGAAGGAUGACAGCCCUACGGGUUGUAAACUUCUUUUGUAUGGGAAGAAACACUUCUACGUGUAGAAGAUUGACGGUACCGUACGAAUAAGCAUCGGCUAACUCCGUGCCAGCAGCCGCGGUAAUACGGAGGAUGCAAGCGUUAUCCGGAUUCAUUGGGUUUAAAGGGUACGUAGGCGGGAAAUUAAGUCAGUGGUGAAAUCCUGCAGCUUAACUGUAGAAUUGUCAUUGAUACUGGUUUUCUUGAAUUUAGUUGAGGUAGGCGGAAUGUGUAAUGUAGCGGUGAAAUGCUUAGAUAUUACACAGAACACCGAUUGCGAAGGCAGCUUACUAAACUAUGAUUGACGCUGAGGUACGAAAGCGUGGGGAGCGAACAGGAUUAGAUACCCUGGUAGUCCACGCUGUAAACGAUGAUCACUCGUUGUUGGCGAUAUACUGUCAGCGACUGAGCGAAAGCAUUAAGUGAUCCACCUGGGGAGUACGAUCGCA